AUUGAACGCUGGCGGCAUGCCUUACACAUGCAAGUCGAACGGCAGCACGGGGCAACCUGGUGGCGAGUGGCGAACGGGUGAGUAAUGCAUCGGAACGUACCUUUCAGUGGGGGAUAACGUAGCGAAAGUUACGCUAAUACCGCAUAUUCUGUGAGCAGGAAAGCAGGGGAUCGCAAGACCUUGCGCUGAUUGAGCGGUCGAUGUCAGAUUAGCUAGUUGGUGAGGUAAAGGCUCACCAAGGCGACGAUCUGUAGCGGGUCUGAGAGGAUGAUCCGCCACACUGGAACUGCGACACGGUCCAGACUCCUACGGGAGGCAGCAGUGGGGAAUUUUGGACAAUGGGGGCAACCCUGAUCCAGCCAUGCCGCGUGAGUGAAGAAGGCCUUCGGGUUGUAAAGCUCUUUCGGCCGGGAAGAAAUCGCACGGGCUAAUACCCUGUGUGGAUGACGGUACCGGAAUAAGAAGCACCGGCUAACUACGUGCCAGCCGCCGCGGUAAAAC
rnacentral:rRNA from 1 species